UAGGGAAUCUUCGGCAAUGGACGAAAGUCUGACCGAGCAACGCCGCGUGAGUGAAGAAGGUUUUCGGAUCGUAAAACUCUGUUGUUAGAGAAGAACAAGGACGUUAGUAACUGAACGUCCCCUGACGGUAUCUAACCAGAAAGCCACGGCUAACUACGUGCCAGCAGCCGCGGUAAUACGUAGGUGGCAAGCGUUGUCCGGAUUUAUUGGGCGUAAAGCGAGCGCAGGCGGUUUCUUAAGUCUGAUGUGAAAGCCCCCGGCUGAACCGGGGAGGGUCAUUGGAAACUGGGAGACUUGAGUGCAGAAGAGGAGAGUUGAAUUCCAUGUGUAGCGGUGAAAUGCGUAGAUAUAUGGAGGAACACCAGUGGCGAAGGCGGCUCUCUGGUCUGUAACUGACGCUGAGGCUAGAAAGCGUGGGGAGCAAACAGG
rnacentral:rRNA from 1 species